GACGAACGCUGGCGGCGUGCUUAACACAUGCAAGUCGAACGGAAAGGCCCUGCUUUUGUGGGGUGCUCGAGUGGCGAACGGGUGAGUAACACGUGAGUAACCUGCCCUUGACUUUGGGAUAACUUCAGGAAACUGGGGCUAAUACCGGAUAGGAGCUCCUGCUGCAUGGUGGGGGUUGGAAAGUUUCGGCGGUUGGGGAUGGACUCGCGGCUUAUCAGCUUGUUGGUGGGGUAGUGGCUUACCAAGGGUUUGACGGGUAGCCGGCCUGAGAGGGUGAACGGCCACAUUGGGACUGAGAUACGGCCCAGACUCCUACGGGAGGCAGCGGUGGGAAAUAUGGCACAAUGGGCGGAAGCCUGAUGCAGAAACGCCGCGUGCGGAAUGCCGGCCUUCGGGUUGUAAACCACUUUCGCCUGUGACGAAGCGUGAGUGACGGUAAUGGGUAAGGAAGCACCGGCUAACUACGUG
rnacentral:rRNA from 1 species